CUCUUUCUAUCCACCAUCGCGAUUCCUCUCUGUUGAAUGCUCCUGCAUCUUCGCGUAUCAUCACCGUUAAGCUAAGCGUGAAUCCUCAUUGUCGCCGAUGUCACAUCCAUUUCGAGCAUCUCAAUUCUAGGUUUAGAGUUGCGGAAUCGCUAGAGCAUCGGUCACAUUUGGAGUUGAGAAAGCCAUCACCCAUACCACCACGACUAGUCUUCUUUGCAACAAUCUGAACACUCGAGGUAAAACUUGUAGGUGUUCCGGAAAUGAACUACACAUCUGAUGAUCAUCCGAACCCCCAUGGUGAAAUUUGUAUCAGGGGUCCCAUUAUUUUUCAAGGAUAUUACAAAG